AUUGAACGCUGGCGGAAUGCUUUACACAUGCAAGUCGAACGGCAGCACGGACUUCGGUCUGGUGGCGAGUGGCGAACGGGUGAGUAAUGUAUCGGAACGUGCCCAGUCGUGGGGGAUAACGUAGUGAAGAUUACGCUAAUACCGCAUACGAUCUAUGGAUGAAAGCGGGGGAUCGCAAGACCUCGCGCGAUUGGAGCGGCCGAUAUCAGAUUAGGUAGUUGGUGGGGUAAAGGCCCACCAAGCCAACGAUCUGUAGCUGGUCUGAGAGGACGACCAGCCACACUGGAACUGGGACACGGUCCAGACUCCUACGGGAGGCAGCAGUGGGGAAUUUUGGACAAUGGGCGAAAGCCUGAUUCAGCCAUUCCGCGUGCAGGAUGAAGGCCCUCGGGUUGUAAACUGCUUUUGUACAGAACGAAAAGGUUUCUACUAAUACUAGGAGCUCAUGACGGUACUGUAAGAAUAAGCACCGGCUAACUACGUGCCAGCCGCCGCCGUAA
rnacentral:rRNA from 1 species